rnacentral:rRNA from 1 species
GAUGAACGCUGGCGGCGUGCCUAAUACAUGCAAGUCGAGCGAACCACUUCGGUGGUGAGCGGCGAACGGGUGAGUAACACGUAGGUGAUCUGCCUAUCAGACGGGGACAACGAUUGGAAACGAUCGCUAAUACCGGAUAGGACGAAAGUUCAAAGGUGCUUCUGGCACCGCUGAUGGAUGGGCUCGCGGCGCAUUAGCUAGUUGGUAGAGUAAAGGCCUACCAAGGCGACGAUGCGUAGCCGACUUGAGAGGGUAAACGGCCACACUGGGACUGAGACACGGCCCAGACUCCUACGGGAGGCAGCAGUAGGGAAUCUUCGGCAAUGGGCGAAAGCCUGACCGAGCAACGCCGCGUGAAUGAUGAAGGCCUUCGGGUUGUAAAAUUCUGUUAUAAGGGAAGAACGACUUUAGUAGGAAAUGGCUAGAGUGUGACGGUACCUUAUGAGAAAGCCACGGCUAACUACGUGCCAGCCGCCGCAGUAA